UACGGGGGGGGCGAGCGUUGUUCGGAUUUACUGGGCGUAAAGGGCGCGUAGGCGGCGCAACAAGUCACUUGUGAAAUCUCCGGGCUUAACCCGGAGCGGCCAAGUGAUACUGUCGUGCUAGAGUGCGGAAGGGGCUACUGGAAUUCUCGGUGUAGCGGUGAAAUGCGUAGAUAUCGAGAGGAACACCUGCGGCGAAGGCGGGUAGCUGGGCCGACACUGACGCUGAGGCGCGAAAGCCAGGGGAGCGAACGGG
rnacentral:rRNA from 1 species